AAUAAACUGAGCAGCCAGCAGCCAGCGGCUGUCAGAGCCCACCUGAAACAAGGAGACUUGAAAGCUCCACCAGACAGAACUCCAGUAUUUAUUUCUUAAGCCUCUGAAAGAAAACAGGAAGUUGUUUUCUCUUCUCCCCACCCCUGGCACCCAAAAUUUGAUUGCCCCAUGGCCUUUACGCAGCUGUCCUCCUGGCUACCCCAGAUAAGGGAGUCGAGUGACUGCUGAGCUCAGAGACAUUAAAAAAAACAACAAACAAUUCCUGUGGAGUUGAUUUCAGCUCACGGCAACUCCUUGUGUGUCAGACUAGAACUGUGCACUACACGGUUUUCAAUGGCAGAUUUUUCUUCUGAGACACCUCUGGGCAGACUCGAACCGCCAAUGUUUCAGUUAACAGCCAAGUGGGUUAACCAAUUGAACCACCUAGGGACUUCCCUAGUGAUACUAAGGUGCUGAGACAGGCUGAGACCCCUCUGGCUUCUGACAUGGAGCGUUCUGAACAGGAUCCCAAGUUGGUGAUGGCUCUGAUUGCGUGAAUAGAUGAUCAGAAAGGUAUCUUGCCGUGGCAGUCCUUAGUAAGGCAGAUGCCCACAUCACCUGGAACUCAGUGAAGGUCGAGAAGUCCUGUCACACUGCCGUUCCAGGACUGUAGGCUGGAACGUCCCCAGAGCCCUGCUUUUCACCCAGACAGGCUCCUGUAAAUUUGAUGAAUUCUUUAGCCAAAGCUGUGCCCCUGGGGCUGACCCGGGAUCCCGUCUGUGUGCUCUGUGCAUUGGUGACGAUUCAGGCCAGAACAAGUGUGUGCCCAACAGCAAGGAGCGAUACUAUGGCUACAUCGGAGCUUUCAGCACUCCUGGAAGCCUGCGCCUUCCUCAGCAGGUAGAACUCAAGCCAGUGACCAGCCUUGCCUGGGGAGCCUCAGCCCUCCACUGCGCUCAGCCCCGGCCGCUCCCUUCCUGAG